ensembl:lncRNA
GGGGAGAAGAAGAGGCGCAAUGCGUGCACAUUUCUCCCCGCUUGACGUUUUGCUGAAGUUUGUACGCCACUUGAGCCCGCCGUCUCCCUCGCUAAUGAUACCGGCGGAGGCUCUCUGGGGAACGGCGUCCGUCGCGCGCGCCUUGGCUUUCGCGUCUCCGGCACCAGACAUUCCUCUGUCUCCCUCUAGUUCUCUGUCUUUCUUUCUCUCCCCCUCUCUCGCUCUCUCUCACUUUUUGAUUCGGUGUACUGUGCGAGCGGUGUUUCUUCCUCUGGAGGUUCCUCUUUAGCUGACCCCCCCCCCCCGACCCCUCCUUCUCUGAGGACAGCCAGCUAAGAACCGAGCAACAUAUCAUAGAGUGGCGCUUGGGCUCACAGCCGAACCCUCACCGCUUGCUCUGACAAAAUGG